AAUCAACGCUGGCGGCGUGCCUAACACAUGCAAGUCGAACGCGAAAGCCCCGCAAGGGGUCAGUAGAGUGGCAAACGGGUGAGUAACACGUGGGUGACCUGCCUUCGAGUGGGGAUAACGUCCCGAAAGGGACGCUAAUACCGCAUCAUAUGCUGCCUUUGAAGAGGUGGACAUCAAAGCUGGGGAUCGCAAGACCUAGCGCUUGAAGAGGGGCCCGCGCCUGAUUAGCUAGUUGGUGGGGUAAUGGCUCACCAAGGCUACGAUCAGUAUCCGGCCUGAGAGGGCGGACGGACACACUGGGACUGAGACACGGCCCAGACUCCUACGGGAGGCAGCAGUGGGGAAUUGUUCGCAAUGGGCGCAAGCCUGAC
rnacentral:rRNA from 1 species